GCGUGGAGGUGAGGAGGAUGGGGACGUGGCUCGGCUUCUCCGGCGGUGGCUCGGCUCCGGGGGGGGGGGGGACCUUCCAGUGCAGAGUUGGGAUCAUCAUUUAUUGUCCAUAUAAGAAGAUCAAGCAACCAUUUCAUUAGUGAAAAUUAACUGAAGAGUAUUUGAUAUAAUUCAAGGAAAAUAUAUUGAAAUAUUUUUCAGUAGAACCUCUUUCCAUCUUGAUAGAUGUUAGCUAGUGCUAUGUUUUGGACAAAAAGCAGACCAAGAAAGAUGUUUUUCAUAAAAAGCAAUGUAACCUUGAAGAAAGAAGAAUGUGCAGUGCUUAAGGUAUUUUCAUCUCCUGGUUUCUGGAAUUUGAAUUCAUAUUUGUUUCAGUGGUUCAGUAGUAUACUAAGAAUGACAGCUAAUUUUUAUUAAUUGAUCACACUGCAUAUAUAUUUGAGAUGCAAAAAGCAUAUUAUGGAAAGUUUGGGAUAAUUUCUGACUGCUUUCCUACGAUUGGUAAUAAUUGGACCAUGAAGGUAACUGGAUUUAUUUCCUUAUGGGUGUUGGCUUCAUUGUUUUGCUGUCAACUAAUAACACCUGUGGAACAUGAGGAUAUAGUGAAACAUGCAAUAAAACUGCAUCGUGGUAGAGGAGUUGCUGCUACACAGAGGAAACAAUGGCUUGUAGAAAACUGCAGAAAGCUAUCUGGACUCCUGCGUCAAAAGAAUGUGGUUCUCAACAAACUAAAAAGUGCAAUAAGAGCAGUAGAAAAGGACUCGGGACUGUCACUUGCAGAAAGAACUUUUCAAGUCCACACAUUUGAAAUUUUUCAAAAGGAGCUGAAUGAAAGUGAAAACUCUGUAUUUCAAGCAAUCUACGGACUCCAAAGAGCUUUACAAGGUGAUUAUAAAGAUGUUGUGAACAUGAAGGAAAGUAGUCGGCAGAGAUUGGAAGCUUUGAGGGAAGCAGCAAUAAAGGAAGAAACGGAAUAUGUUGAACUUCUAGCAGCAGAGAAACACCAGGCUGAAGCCCUGAAGAACAUGCAGCAUCAAAAUAAAAGUUUAUCCAUUCUUGAUGAGAUUCUUGAAGAUGUAAGAAAAGCAGCUGAUAGGCUUGAAGAGGAAAUAGGAGAGCAUGCCUUUGAUGACAACAAGUCAGUGAGGGGAGUGAAUUUUGAAGCUGUUUUAAGAGUAGAAGAAGAUGAAGCAGAUACUAAAAGAAAUAUUUCAAAACGGGUAGUAGAAGAUGAUUUGGGUCUAAGCAUGCUUAUUGAUUCCCAAAACAAUCAGUACAUACUUACUAAGCCCAGAGACUCUACCAUUCCACGGGCGGAUCAUCAUUUUAUAAAGGAUAUUGUCACCAUAGGAAUGCUAUCUUUGCCUUGUGGAUGGUUAUGUACAACAAUAGGAUUACCAACUAUGUUUGGAUACAUUAUCUGUGGAGUACUCUUAGGACCAUCAGGAUUAAACAGCAUUAAGUCAAUUGUGCAAGUAGAAACAUUGGGAGAAUUUGGUGUGUUCUACACACUGUUCCUCGUUGGCUUGGAGUUUUCCCCGGAAAGAUUAAGAAAGGUGUGGAAGAUAUCAUUGCAAGGACCCUGUUACAUGACAUUCCUGAUGAUUGCAUUUGGCUUACUGUGGGGACACUUGCUACAAAUUAGAGCAACACAGAGUGUUUUCAUUGCUACUUGUUUAUCAUUAUCAAGCACACCAUUGGUAUCCAGAUUCCUUGCAGGGAGUGCUCGGGGAGAUAAAGAAGGAGAUAUUGAUUACAGCAGUGUUCUGCUUGCUAUGUUGGUUAUGCAGGAUGUACAGCUUGGCUUGUUUAUAGCUGUUAUGCCAACUCUUAUUCAAGCGGGUGUUGGCACACAUUCCAGCACCAUCAAGGAAAUACUGAGAAUAUUGAUGCUGAUUGGACAAAUUCUCUUUUCUUUGGCUGCUGCCUUGCUUAUAUGUCUUGUUUUAAAGACUUAUCUAAUAGGACCAUACUACCGCAAGUUGCAUACGGAAAGCAAAGGAAAUAAGGAAAUUCUAGUUCUGGGAAUAUCUGCUUUUAUGUUCCUUAUGUUAACGAUCACAGAGCUAUUGGAUGUUUCAAUGGAAUUGGGAUGUUUUCUAGCAGGAGCACUUAUAUCUUCUCAGGGUCAUAUGGUUACUGAAGAAAUUAUGUCCUGUAUUGAACCAAUACGUGACUUUCUUGCCAUCAUAUUCUUUGCAUCUAUAGGUCUUCAUGUUUUCCCUACAUUUGUAAUAUAUGAACUCACAGUCUUGCUGUUCCUUACAUUUUCAGUGGUAAUAAUGAAGUUUUUCCUGGCAGUGCUUGUCCUUUCUAUGAUUCUUCCAAAGAGCAGUCAGUACAUCAAAUGGAUUGUAUCUGCAGGCUUGGCUCAAGUCAGUGAAUUUUCCUUUGUCUUGGGAAGCAGAGCGCGCAGAGCGGGCAUAAUUUCUCGAGAGGUAAGCUAUGACAUCAUAAAGCCAUAUCAUGGAGAGCCAGGCUGGUGGUGUGGUUAAAGCGCCAGACUUAGGGGUGAGGAGAGUCCACUGUUCAAAUCCCCACACAGCCAUAAAGCCAUUUCACACUUUGAAGCAUGUAAUAAAACCAUAUGGUAAAAUGGUCAAAGGAUGUUGAGACUGGGUGCUAUAUACACAGUUGUCAGUAGCUUCUUUAAGCUUUUCCCCCUUCUUAAAUAGAAACAGCUUUGGAGUCUUAAUGCUUCAUUAGCAGAAGAAAGGGAGGGGGAAGAGCUGGUUAACAUUUUACCUCUAUUCUAUUUCUUUUUCAAACCCACCCAGCUGUUUUCCCCCUUGCAAAAUAGUGGCCUGCAUUCCCCACCCAUGGGAAGAAACAAAAACUUCAGAAGGGAGAAGAGAUUCUAGCUCCUGCAUUUGGUUUACCUUGCAACCUCCCAAGGCUGUUUGGGGGUUCAUUCUUCUUUAAUGGGAAAUUUGCACAAAAGUUUCAUUAGGCCAUGUCAAAUACAUGUAUUCCAAAAGCUGGACUCAGCCAGCCUCAACCUCUAGUAGCAUUUUAGCUGUAGAUUGACAAAUAUUAAAGGGCAAGUUGGAUGGGUAAUAAUUAAAGGAAUAAGAAGGCGUGGCUUGCCAUAAAAUGUUGCUUGUUGCAUAUUGAGCUUGGUUGUGCUAUCUUCCAAGUCCUGGUAAUAGAACAAUAAUGACCAUCUUUUCUUUUUAAGCAUUGUGUGGUGAUCUACUUGUGGGAUUGAAUAAGUAUCUGCUGCAUAAGUGGGGUGGUAGGUUACGUUGUCUCUAGUUGCCAUUGUCUUAGUUACCUUCAUGCUGUAGCAUCAGAAGCAACCUAAUGUUUCUGUGAGUGAGAAGCCUAAGGAUGGGUCCCAGACGGAUGAAGAGGACUGCUGAGAUCUUAAGAGACCUCUGGUAAAUGAAACUAUAUUAAUAAUGCUUGCAGAUAAUGGGCAACCCAGUGGAGCAGUUUCAGAGCCACUUGAUAAAAAGGGGAUUAAAAAAAUAUAGAGCGAAAACUAUCAGAUGGCCUGUUACACUUCAUUACUCCAGUAAUAUUUACUUCUUCACCUGAUCUCUCAAACUCUCUUGUUAACGUUGAUCUGUCUGUGCGUUUGGGUAGGUAAAGAUGUCAUGGCUUCUCCAGAUGGAACUUUUAUGACCUGCCAGUUCUGAGUAUUAUUUUAGUACAAGAAAAAUUUCCACCCAUUUAAGUGAUGCCUUUGAAAAGUAUUGUGGCAAAAUUAUUCAAAGGCUGCAACACGGCAAAUGUCAUGAUUUUGGAAAAAAAAUGGAUUAAGACUAUCACAAGUGUGCAAAUAUAAUUACGUCAUAUAAUGUACUUUGCAUGCACAGGAGCAUGGCUGGGAAAGACCUUUGCCCAAGACCCUAGCCUAGAGCCACUGUCAGAAUAGAAGACACUGGCCUUGGUGGAAGGAUCUCUUGGAAUACUUUAGUGGGUUUCUGCUAAGAUUGUUUUUCUUCACAGAAAUAACACAUUUUGCUUCCCAAUUUUUAGGUCUACCUCCUUAUAUUGAGUGUGACUACUCUAAGCCAAUUGCUGGCACCAGCACUCUGGAGAGCUGCGAUUAUGAAAUGCGUACCAAGACCUGAAAGACGAUUAAUU